rnacentral:ncRNA from 1 species
UUAAACUAGAAAGAAAGACUCCACGAUAAAGCUUUCUGUGCAAACAAAGCAAAGGAGGAAAAAAUUCCGCAGGCUUGCGGUGCGGCAGUGUGGAGACCUGCCGUAAUGCGGCGCACUCUUCUACCGGGUGGCUGCGAGGUGAUCGGGCGGAGGCCUGAUCAUCAGAGUCUUAAUAAAAUAUGGCU